rnacentral:rRNA from 1 species
GACGAACGCUUGCGGCGUGCCUAAGAAAUGCAAGUCGAGCGAGGUUUAGGCUUCGGCCGACGACCUAGCGGCGAACGGUCGCGUAACACGUAAGCAACCUGCCCUAAAGUUGGGGAUAGCCCGCCGAAAGGCGGAUUAAUACCGAAUGUGGAUAUGAUUUCGCAUGUGAUUAUAUCUGAAGCAGCGAUGCGCUUUAGGAUGGGCUUGCGGCCUAUCAGUUAGUUGGUGUGGGUAACGGCCUACCAAGACGACGACGGGUAGCUGGUCUGAGAGGAUGGUCAGCCGGAUUGGGACUGAGACACGGCCCAGACUCCUACGGGGGGCAGCAAUUAGGAAUCUUGCGCAAUGGGCGAAAGCCUGACGCAGCGACGCCGCGUGACUGAUGAAGUCUUUCGAGAUGUAAAGGUCUUUUGUUGGGGACGAAGGAAGUGACGGUACCCGAGAAUAAGCCCCGGCUAACUACGUG